AAGAGAAGGGAGUCCGCUCCCGGGGUUUCGACCCUUACUCUUCACCCUUUGUUUACAUAUCUUUGUUGCUUUGGCGGGCCUUGGUUUUCCCAUGUCGCUUCAUUUCGACAAGUGCUCGCCAGAGGCUUUUUAAAAUCUUCAUUUUUGCUGUCCGAAACAUAAAUAAAUUAUUA
rnacentral:misc_RNA from 1 species